UACGAAGGGUGCAAGCGUUAGUCGGAAUUACUGGGCGUAAAGCGUGCGUAGGCGGUUUCUUAAGUCCGUUGUGAAAGCCCUGGGCUCAACCUGGGAACUGCAGUGGAUACUGAGAGGCUAGAGUGUGUCAGAGGAUGGUGGAAUUCCCGGUGUAGCGGUGAAAUGCGUAGAGAUCGGGAGGAACAUCAGUGGCGAAGGCGGCCAUCUGGGACAACACUGACGCUGAGGCACGAAAGCGUGGGGAGCGAACGAGG
rnacentral:rRNA from 1 species